rnacentral:rRNA from 1 species
GAUCAUGGCUCAGGAUGAACGCUAGCGGCAGGCCUAAUACAUGCAAGUCGAACGGUAAACGCCCCUUCGGGGGUGUGAGAGUGGCGCACGGGUGCGUAACGCGUAUGCAACCCACCCGCUGUCGGGGGAUAGCCCGGAGAAAUUCGAAUUAAUACCCCAUGAGGAGCAGCUGUGGCAUCACAAUUGUUUCAAGACUUCGGUGACGGCGGACGGGCAUGCGUGCCAUUAGAUAGUUGGCGGGGUAACGGCCCACCAAGUCGACGAUGGCUAGGGGAUCUGAGAGGACGGUCCCCCACACUGGUACUGAGACACGGACCAGACUCCUACGGGAGGCAGCAGUAAGGGAUAUUGGUCAAUGGGGGGAACCCUGAACCAAGCCAUGCCGCGUGAGGGAGUAAGGCCCUACGGGUCGUAAACCUCUUUUGCCGGGGGAUAAGGACGGGGACGUGUCCCUGUUUGAAGGUACCCGGAGAAUAAGCAUCGGCUAACUCCGUGCCAGCCGCAGC